rnacentral:lncRNA from 1 species
CAUUUACCCAGUUGGCUGUCGAAUACCGUGGUGGUAAAAAAGAAAACGGGCAAAUGGCGGGUCUAUGUCGAUUUCACCAACCUCAACUGGGCUUGUCCCAAAGACUAUUUCCCACAGCCAAAGAUAGAUCAGUUGGUUGACUGCAUCUCGGGUCAUGCCCGAAUGAGUUUCCUCAAUGCGUACAGAGGAUAUCAUCAAAUCGCUCUACACGGACCGGAUCAAGAGAAGACUGCAUUCAUGACCCCCAUGUGAGUGUUUUGCUAUAAAGUCAUGCCUUUUGGGCUUAAGAACGCGGGGGCCACAUAACUAGAGAAUGGUAACAAAGAUGGUCAACACGUCUGGGAAAACGGAAAGAACCAUGGAUGCCGACAUCGAGGACUGGGGGUGAAAAGCAAAGGGGGGAUCUUCAGAUCACCUCAGGGACUUGGCCGAGAUAUUCGCAAUCCUCCAACAACAUAAGCUCAAACUCAAUGCAGCGAAGUGUGCCUUUGGUAGGCUGGGAAAAUUCCUUUGACAUCUAGUCACAAGACGAGGAAUUGAAGCGAACCCAGAACAGAUUGCUGCAAUAGACAGAUAGCCAGCCCAAGAAUGCCAACGAGGUGGCAGAACUCACCGGGAUGGCAGCAACACUCAAUCGGUUAUCAGUAAGUCUUCUGACAAUGUCGCCCAUUUUUUAAGCGCUUGCUCAAAAAGGUGGGCCAAGUUCCUCCGGGGAUGAGGAGUCCGAGUGCGCUCCAACACUUCGAAAAAUUCUCCUGACAAACCUCCAUUCCUAUCCACCCCCGAACGAAGGAGAGUUGCUCCACGUUUAUCUUGCUUUGUGCGACAACCGCGGAGCUCGGUCUUGUUUAAGAGGGUGGUCAACGAGCACGCAGAUCUAUUUUGUGAGCAAACUCUAACUGAUUGUCAGACAACGAUACUUGCCAUUGGAAAAGUUGUUCUGGCCUUAGUGGUGACCUCACGCAUAGCCAUGCACUAUUUUCAAGCAUACCCCUCUCGGUGUAAACCAAUUCCUGCUCAAGGCCAUAUUGAUGAAAGCAGACCUGAUGGGACGCUCUCUAAAUGGUCCCUAGAACUUGGGCAAUUUGACAUAAGCUUCUUACCAAGGCGGCAAUCAAGGGGCAAGUAUUGGCAGACUUCGUGCAGAGUUUCCUCCAGGCCAGAAAUCCCAAGACGAUCAAUCCAACCUUGGAGAAAGGGGAAAACUCCAAAAUGCACCAUCCGAGCUCAACUACAAGAGAGAAUACCGAGGUCAAUCUAAAGCCACAGAAAGAGACUCUGCUGAACUAAAGGAUUACCUAGGGAGUCGAGGUACUUGACCACCUCAGGUAGAGCCUUCUGUGGCAUGGCAGAUGUUACGUCGACAGAGCCAGAAACCGCCAAGGGCAGCGUAGGUGUGUGUUGAAGUGUCCCCGAAGGCGAGGUCUUCGAAUAGUGCCUCCGAUUUAUUUCCCAGCGACGAACAUGAAGUCUAGUAUGAAGCUCUGAUCAUAGGGUUGAGGUCCUCCAGCAAGUCUGGGAUGCCGGAGCGGUGCGUAUACACGCUUCAAAACUGGUCUUAAAUUAGUUGACCGACAAAUUUGAAGCCUCGAGGGUUAAAUGGCAAAAUAUUUGCAGGUGGCAAAAACCUUCUCAGCAAGUUUCGAACGGUUAAAAUCGAGCAGGUUAGGAGAGAAUUAACACGCAGCAGAUGCGCUUGCCUUCUUUAGCAUCCACUUUGAAGGGGACCAGGCAGACGGAGCAGUCGACGUCGUAUCAGUCCCCAGUAUAGAAGAAGCACAAUCAUCGUUCUGUACAAACACACAAUCGGUUCGGUGGAUGGACCCUAUCGUGAACUAUCUUACAGACCGACCAUUGCCAGCUGACAGAAAGGAGCGCAUAAGAUCAGGAUCAAGGCACGGUUUGGGUAUCUCCCAUAGGAGAAUUGACAAAAGGUCUUAUCAGGCCUUAGCGUGUGUCACAUCUGAGCCUGUCGAAGACGUUACUUUAUGAAUCCAUGAGGGAAUGUAAUGGAUUACACUCUGGGGGAAGAUCGACUGGACACACAAAAAAGCUUUCACAGGGGUAAUGGUGGCCUUACAGCAGAAGGACGCUCGGUAUAUGUGUGCAGGUGCAACAAGUGUCAGCUCUUUUCACCUCUGAUCCAUCAACUACAAGGACUUGUCCGCCUUACUAGUCCUUGGACCCUUCGCCCAAUGGGGGAAUGAUAUCGUAGGUGUACUACCUAGAGCUCCUAGGCAACAAGAGGUUCUUACUUGUAGGGCGACCGAUUACUUCACCAAUGGGUAGAAGCUGAGCCCUGGCAAGAUCAGAGCAGACAGAUGUGAUAAGGUUUAUUCGCCGGUAACAUCCUAUCAGAUUUGCAUCCACGGGCCUUCGUGUCGGAUAAUCUACCCAAUUUGUCGGAAGCAAAGUUAGGGGUCUCCCCCCAGUAGAGCAAUGAAGAUUGAAUUCUACAAAUCAACGCCGAGCUACCGCCAGUGCAAUGGCCAAGCCGAGG